UAUGUAUGCACUUUGUGAUAUCAUGUUCAUAUAGUUAUCUAAUGUAUUAUUAUGACUGUGUGUGUGUGUGUGUGUGUGUGUGUGUGUGUGUGUGUGUGUGUGUGUGUGUGUGUGUGUGUGUGUGUGUGUAUGCUUGUGCGUGUGUGUUUGUGCGUGUGUGUGUGCGUGUCACCGUUCCUGGUUGCUUGGCGGAAAGGUUCUCAUCUCAAAAGACCAAAGGUAACCUUGAUCGGCGCCCUGCACACCAACACACGGGCGAGUCCUUAUCAAGUCAACAAAGAGCUGAGCGACUUUCCUCAUUCAAAUAAAAAGAAACUUGUCCUCCAUCUGUGAGAGCCAUCAGGAGCCGCCGGUGUGUGUCCUGCAGCCUGAGCCACUCGUACAGGCCUGCAGGCUCCCCCAUCAGUAUCCCUCGUAGCGUGGAAGGCGUCACCGCUGCGUCAACACCACUUCAUACUAUUUUUAUUGACACAAGAUUUGACGCACAACGCCGCCUCUCUUUCCAGGGCAGAUCGCAGGACACCUCACGGCUCAGGCCGACUCCAGCCGGCUUCCAGCCCAUCUUGAGGGAGAGCGGUGGGUGCGGCGCGGCGCAGGGCAUCUCACCCACGCCGUCACGUGGCAGCCAGACCUGUCACCCAAGGCCGCCACGGACUGGUCCUUACUCAGGCCCGUAUUCCGAAACGCUCUGCUCUCCCGAGCGUAGAAAUAUUGUAAAAACGGUCAUUAAAACUCGUGUAACUUUAACUAGAGUCUUUUGAAAGUAGUGUGGAUGCGGCGCGGAGUUGUUUCACAAUAUGGUCCUCACUCACACAAACAUCACUUCCUCUCCUGAUCCACAUCUCGCUGAUAAAACAGAAACGUAAUCAGUGAAAAAAAAAAAAUAUCAUCACCGUUGUUUGGGCAGCAGAACCGUUCCUGAUAAUGACUACAUGACACUUAACGUCUCAUAAAAGAUUACACUAUUCUAAAUGGACGAAAAUAAAACGGCAAGCAAUAAACUGUUUUACAUAUUCCGUCACUCCUGCUGCUGUCAGUAUUGUCUUUCAAAACAACAGUCUAAACAUUCUCUUAAGGUUGACACGAAGGCAAGGCAGUCAAAUGGUUAAACAUCAGAGUGCAACACACAACAGCUCCUCGGCUCCAUGCCACACGGCCCGCAUGAGUGAGUAUGGUUGCGUCACCGUGCAUGUUUACAGUCUCAGCUGCAGGUCUACCCACCUCACGCCGCCGGUUCUCGGAGCACCGGCAUGGCCACAUUUCUGAGGAAUGACUGACGUAACAGACGUGCCGCGUGGUGCAAUAAUAUCACACCACAGGACAUACUUUUCCUGUUUCGUGUGUGUGUGUGUGUGUGUGUGUGUGUGUGUCCGGCAGUCAGUUACUUAAUUAGUCUGUCAGUACGUUCGUCAUUUAUUUAAUUGGUCAGUCUGUCUUUCUGUCAA